GGGAUUUAGUUCAGUUGAUAGAGAGCUUGCCUUGCAUGCAAAAGGCCCUGGGUUCAAUCUCCAGUACCA
rnacentral:tRNA from 1 species